UACGUCACCUGCCUUGAACUGGGGAGCUGCAAGCACUUUGAUAAAUGGAUUGCCUUUCCUGGAACGAUGUCCCAACAUCAGCUAAUCAGGAUCUUCCAGCUCCUCCGUGUGACUGCCAAAGCACCACUCCUGUAAAUCAAGGAUGGCAAGAAGAAAACCCCAGCAGCAGCAACGCAGGGCUUGCUCGGUGGCAGCGGUGACCCGACACAGAUCCCCCCACCUCUGCUGGCUCGGUGUUUGGGGAAAAAGCCGGGAAACUCCAGCUAAAGGUGACCUGCCCCCAUCGUGUGAACGACCCCCGGGGGUCCGGGAGAUGGGUGACAUUCUGCCAGCCGCCUCGCAGCCUUGCCCCUGUUGUGACAGAGGAUCUGAUGCUGUUAUUCCCAAGCACGGGCUCCCCGCAAGGCGCCCGCAGCCCUCUCGGCACAGCAGCCCCGCGGCCAGGCCCCUUCCCCGCUGCCCGGCGAGGCGAGCUGUGCCGCCGUGUCCAGCGGAGCCCGAGCGGGAGAAACAAAGCGGCGGCAGAAAUUGGGAUGGAGGAAAAUGUUAUCUGAACCUUGACAGCAUUGCCAUGGUAACGGGGGACCCGUGGCGGCGGGCAGUGUGGCACGGCGGCAGGGCUGCGGUUUCCCCCGGGGAAGCCGGCUGGAGCCCUGGGAGGAUGCUCCGGGAGGUGACGGCGGGGUGA
rnacentral:lncRNA from 1 species